GUGGAGGCUAUAUACAGGGGGUACCGGUACAGAGUCAAUGUGGAGGCUAUAUACAGGGUGUUAUGGUACAGAGUCAAUGUGGAGACUAUAUACAGGGUGUUACGGUACAGAGUCAAUGUGGAGGCUAUAUACAGGGUAUUACGGUACAGAGUCAAUGUGGAGGCUAUAUACAGGGUAUUACGGAACAGAGUCAAUGUGGAGGCUAUAUACAGGGUAUUACGGAACAGAGUCAAUGUGGAGGCUAUAUACAGGGUAUUACGGUACAGAGUCAAUGUGGAGGCUAUAUACAGGGUGUUACGGUACAGAGUCAAUGUGGAGGCUAUAUACAGGGUAUUACGGUACAGUGUCAAUGUGGAGGCUAUAUACAGGGUGUACCGGUACAGAGUCAAUGUGGAGGCUAUAUACAGGGUGUUACGGUACAGAGUCCAUGUGGAGGCUAUAUACAGGGUGUACCGGUACAGAGUCAAUGUGGAGGCUAUAUACAGGGGGUACCGGUACAGAAUCAAUGUGGAGGCUAUAUACAGGGUGUUACGGUACAGAGUCCAUGUGGAGGCUAUAUACAGGUUGUACCGGUACAGAGUCAAUGUGGAGGCUAUAUACAAGGGGUACCGGUACAGAGUCAAUGUGGAGACUAUAUACAGGGUGUUACGGUACAGAGUCAAUGUGGAGGCUAUAUACAGGGUGUUACUGUACAGAGUCAAUGUGGAGGCUAUAUACAGGGUGUUACGGUACAGAGUCAAUGUGGAGGCUAUAUACAGGGUGUUACGGUACAGAGUCAAUGUGGAGGCUAUAUACAGGGUGUUACGGUACAGAGUCAAUGUGGAGAAUAUAUACAGGGGGUACCGGUACAGAGUCAAUGAGGAGGCUAUAUACAGGGUGUUACGGUACAGAGUCAAUGUGGAGGCUAUAUACAGGGUGUUAAGGUACAGAGUCAAUGUGGAGGCUAUAUACAGGAAAAGGUUGUUGUCCUUGCACCACACAGUCAG
ensembl:lncRNA